AAUUUCUCUUUGCUUCUAAAACAAUAGAGUACUUCAACUACAUGUGUUAAGUAUAAAUAGGGAAGUGGAUUAGGAUGAAUCUGCAGAGGAGUUUGAGUGUCAUAUAUACAAAAAAUGGCAGGGAAUAAUGCCCUUCUUCUACUUAUAGCUUUAUUAGCUAUCUCUAACAUUUUCUCUUUUAAUGCUGCUCCAAUCUCAAGUACAUAAUCUUGAUCACUUCUCUAUCUAAUUCUUGAAGUGGCUUAAGUUAAUCAUAUGAUCUGAUUUUGUUUUUCAUUGAACUUCAUUCUUCUUGUACUACAGGGAAUACGCGUCUGUUUUUGCAUGAAAAUCAAGAACUUCCACCACCUGCAUAUACUAACCAGGUACUUCUGCUGUUAUAUAUUACAACAACAUACUGUUAUAUAUUAAAACAACAUACCCAGUGUAAUCUCAUAAGUGGAGUUGGGCUUCUGAGAGUAGGGUUACUUCAUGGAUUUCUUGUUUCUGAUCUCAUUUUCUUCGUUUUGCGGGGAUUUUUUUGAAUAUGAUUGAAAGCAGAUGAUGAAAUUGGAAGCUAUGGAGGAAGAGUUCAUCAAUGGAAGGAUGGAUUUAGAGAGCCAUGAUUACCCUGGCUCGGGAGCAAAUAAUCGUCACACACCUAGGCCACCUAUUGAGACUUAAUAUAAUUAUUAAGUUAUUAAAAGUGUAUUUUCUCUAAUAGUUUAAUUAUGCUUUUUAAAUAAGAUGGUGGUCAUGCAGCAACUCCACUUUAAACCAUUAAUUGCAGGGUCUAAAUCCCAACCAAAAAAAGUCCAUUCUAUCCUCAAAAACUUAAAAAAUAUAAGGAAAAAAAGGCCAUCUUGCACAUUUUGAUGGUUAAAGAAAAGGCAUCUUGCACAUUCUGAUGUAGUCCCUUUUAAACAAUAAUCUUGCUAAUCUUGAACUUUCUUGAAUCCUUUAACAUUAAUAUGUACCUGCAGGUUGAUUUAACAUACUCUAAAUUUCUUUCCAAUAACGUAAACCUAAACAUAAGACUAUUGGGGACUAUAUGAUCUUAUCCACACUUUCCCUCUGAAAAAACUGAACUUUAAAAUUCAAUCAUCUCUUUGUCUAUCUAACUAAAUCUGGUAACUAGAAUAUCCGAUAAAGAUUUAGAAUACUAAUAACUAACAUAAUAUUUCCAAUUGCUUUUAUCAUAUCUGUAUCGUAUAUUUCUCGUGUUGAUCAACAAUAAUUACAGUUGGCGUAUCUUGUGAGAUAUUUAAUUCUGCCGGUAUAUGUUUGCACGUGAGAUAAUUGUCUUUUCGACGUACUUGCAUUUCUUUUGGGAUGGUUUCCCUUACGCUUGCAAAUUUAACACUGUUUCUUUACGUGUCACAUGAAAGAAAUAGUGAAAACUGGAGUUCGUGUCUGUGUCACAUCUAGGAUCUUUAAGACCAACGAAAUGCAUUAUUUGAUUAAAUCAGCUUUUUUCUGUUUUCUCCCGUAAAAAAGAGAAGAAGAAAAGGAAAAAGACAAGCUGGGACAGAGCAUCAAAUUUGGUGGAAUAUUUUUGACAUAAUUCAAAAAGCAUAAAAAAGUAAGACUUAUUGUGUAAAACCACCUGAACACUCCACAAAUUGAAGAUGGAAAGUAACAAAACAGAUAAUAAGCAUUAAGUGAAGGAAGUGGAUCUGAGGUGUCAGCCACUUAUAAUGCAAUUACUAGCUCUGAUAUAUCAUCAUCAUUUUAUUCUUCUUUUUCUUUUUGUGAUUUUGAUGGGAAAAUUAAUACUCCACCUCUUCUUUCCUCAUGAAACUUGUCAUCAUGGCAGUUUUUAAGGAUGACCUGUAACUUGACAACUAGUGAUAGCAAAAUGAUUAAAAUAAAACACUUAUUCACGAUAUUAUUCACUAAAAACAUAAGUCGAAUAAUGGGUUUUUUAAAAACGGGUCCAAAUAUAGAUAAGAACUGUAUUAUCCAUUUAGAAAAUGGAUAACCAAUGGAUAACUAAUGGGUUAACUUUUACAUUUUAAAGCCUCAAAUUGGGAAUUCCUCAAGUUUGUGAGACUAAGAAUUCUCUCAAAAGUAAUCAUAUUCAAGAAGUCAUGGAUAAUAUGGAUAUCCAUAUUAUUCGUCACUUAACUUAUUUUUUAUCUGUAAUAAAUAUGGACCGGGUCUAAUAAUUUAUUUGUUUUUAUAUUAACGUUUUCGACCCGACUCAUAUCCGACCCGACCCGUCAUUUGCCACCCCUAUUGACAACCAAUAUAUUUGAGGGGAAAAUGCCAAAAUGUCCUACUAUGCAAAAAAGAUUAUUUUUUAUAGUGAAAACUACCCUCUAUAGCCCCUCAAAAUUUUAAUAGCCCAUGUUUUUGCACAUUGACACAAAAUUAUCCUCCGGCCCAAACAUAUUACAUCUAAUAGCUCGAAAUGUCUAUUUUGUAUAUUUUUAUAUAGUGACAGUCUAUUUUGUAUAUUUGUUAUAUAGUGAUAGUCUAUUUUGUAUAUUAUUUUGUAUAGUGGCNN
rnacentral:lncRNA from 1 species